CCACUUACCUGGCAGGGGAGAUACCAUGAUCACAAAGGUGGUUUUCCCAGGGUGAGACUUUUCCAUUGCACUCCAGCUGUGCUGACCCCUGCGAUUUCCCCAUGUGGGAAACUUGACUGCAUAAUUUGUGGUAGUGGGGUACUGUGUUCGUGCUUUCCCCUG
ensembl:snRNA U1 U1 spliceosomal RNA